CUGGGCUUGACAUGGCGGUGGUACUGAGGCGAAAGCCGAGGGACCCUUCGGGGAGCCGUCACAGGUGCUGCAUGGCUGUCGUCAGCUCGUGCCGUGAGGUGUUCGGUUAAGUCCGCGAACGAGCGCAACCCUUGCCGCCAGUUACAAGUGUCUGGCGGGACUGCCGGUGACAAACCGGAGGAAGGUGGGGAUGACGUCAAGUCAGCAUGGCCUUUAUGUCCAGGGCGACACACACGCUACAAUGGCCGGUACAAUGAGCAGCCAAGCCGCGAGGUGGAGCGAAUCUCCAAAGCCGGUCGUAGUUCGGAUUGCAGGCUGCAACUCGCCUGCAUGAGGUCGGAGUUGCUAGUAACCGUGGGUCAGCCACACUACGGUGAAUACGUUCC
rnacentral:rRNA from 1 species